AUUUAUUCAGGAUAUGAAAGUGAAAAAGCAUUCAAAACGUUUGCAUCUAAAUCUUAAUCUGGUGAAAUUUCUUCUUUCAAUUACAGUUCAAAGGCAGUUAUUAACUACUCAUUGUGUGAGGGACACAGGAAAAAGAGUAUACAAUCCUUAAUGGGAAUAAGCUUCCAUUUUACUUUGGAGGCAAAAAUAUGCAGAAACACUUUAAGUACAAGUCUCCUAAGGAUAAAAAUGAAUACAAUAUUUCCUAACAUGAAGUUGUCAGGAAACAACUGAUUCCAAGUAUUACCUACCCGUCCCAGGUGUCAUGUGAGGUCACACUUCCUUUGAUGCCCAAAUCACAUAAGACUGAACUUCCACUAUACCUCACCAAAGGAUGCACAGGACCCCUCCUCCACAUGUUUCUAAGGAUCCCCAGGGAGUGCUUUCGGGAUUCUGUUUUUUGCUGGAUUUUGCUGUUUUUAAAUUAAUUCAUUUGUUUAUUUUGGUUGGGUGCACUUCCCUUUAGCACAAUCCACUGGAACAGCAUAAUAUAUGACAUCAAUACAUAACCCUAAAUCUAGGUUAUUCAGGAUUCCAGAACACUGCAGAAGGACUUUAGCAGAACAGCAAGGGUUGCUUCCAGGCAUCCCAGCAAGGACAGUGCCUCCACCAUAAUAUAAACUGUGUUUUAUAAAAAUUAAAUGAGAAGAAUGCAUGUGAAAAUGCCUAACAUGGUGUUUGGCACUGUAUCAGUCUGUUUUCACGCUGUUGAUAAAGACAUACCCAAGACUGAGCAAUUUACAAAAGAAGAAAGUUUAACUGGACUCACAGUUCCACGUGGCUGGGGAGGCCUCACAAUCAUGGCAGAAGGCGAUGGACGAGCAAGUCACAUCUUAAGUGGAUGGCAGCAGGCAGAGAGAGCUCAUGCAGAGAAACUCCUGUUUUCAAAAACCAUCAGAUCUUGUGAGACCCAUUUACUAUCAGAAGACCAGCACAGGAAAGACCAGCCCCCAUGAUUCAAUCAUCUCCCACCGGGUCCCUCCCACAAAACCUGGGAAUUAUGGGUGCUACAAGAUGAGAUUUGGGUGGGGACAUAGAGCCAAACCAUAUCAGGCACAUAGCUGAUACACUCCUUCUUUAAGAGGGUAGAAUAUGGUAUAUAUUGCAUUAUUCAGUACUAAAAGAGCUCAGAAUGACAUUGUUUAACCCGUGGUAUUUGCCACCUCCAAUCCAAGGAGCCAUAUUCCAGAGUUACAAGAGAAAGAGAAAACAUUUCAAGUUGAUGCCUGCGUUUCUAGGUAGAAUCACAUGAUGACUUCCUUCCCGUUAUUAUAGCCCUGGCUCCCUGUUAGUCAGGGAAGAUGAACCUAGAGGAAGUAGAAGGAAGAAGAGUGACAUGCAGGAAGCUUCCCUAGAAACAUUCUCAUUAGCCUUCCUUGGGUCUGUGCCUCGAUACACCAGCCCAUCAUCAUCAUGAUCAUCAACACCAUUAUCAUCAUCAUUGUGCUCUGUAGCAGCCACAGACCUGGCAGUUCUCAAUGGCCAUUUACAGAAUGCCCACAUGUGCUGGGCUCUGUGAGAGACUAUACAGACACUGGACAAUCAAGUGAAGAGUGAUUCUGCUUGCAAAUGGACAGUGAAGAGAGUGCUUCCCAUCCCUUCGUAUUUGCCUUUGAUGACUAAGAAUGAGGCACAUUGUUGCCUGUGGAGUUAGGAAAACAACUUUCCAAUGACCCACUUUCCCAUAUCUCUUAGCUAUUGCAGCUCAUACAAUCUCAGGGCUGGAAAAGAUCCUAGAAAUGAUCAGACUCACUUUGCAAAAGGACAUGAAAGUCCAGAGAAGCUGUGACUCACCUGAAGUCAGGGAACUCAUCAAUGAGAACAGGAACAGGAGCCUGGGUUACCUACUUUCAAGCUCAGCAGACUUUCCAGCAUACCACCAUGCCUCUCUUCUUGAAUAAUUUCCUGAAGUUCUAAGAAACAUGAGUAGAAUAUACCUGAUACUAAAACAAUAUGAGUAUUUCUGGUAGAAGUAGUAAAUUGCCUGUUUCUAUAUUAGAACAAUGAUUUUAUAAAGAUUAUUAUUACUAAGAAGACAAAGAGAAUAUUUCUGAAAUGUUGACAGUUGGUAUACUUUUCUGGAAUUCCAAUUUGCUUUCCUGGUUAAAUUUUGGAGUCUCAAAUUUUAUUAUUAAAUUAUCAUAUCUUUAACUAUUAAA
ensembl:lncRNA novel transcript